GCCUAUGAUUACAGAAAUUAUGAAAAUGAAACAAAAUUUAAUUUUCCUGGAUAUAUUUUAUGCUCUGGAAAUAAUAGUGAUGAUAAUUUAAAACAUUUAAACCUGAAUCGGAUAUAUGUGUCUCACUGUUCACUUGACUAUUUUAAAUAAGACUUAAAAUUAUUUGAUGAAGUAUUCAGAUAUUUCUCAGUUGCAAAUUACUUGGAACUGACUUUUUUAAUCUGCUAAUAUUGCAUAAACAUUAUUCUUACAACCAUACCAAAUGACUAGCAGGAUUCAGAAGUGAAUUAUUACUUCAUGAUGGAAAUGGCCACUGGGAAAAUGUGAAUAUGUGUUGAACGGGUAGCCCACUCACUCCACUUUCCCAGAACUUCCAAUAUUUAUAGCAUCAGUUAGCAUUUCAGUGAAAGAAGAAUAUGGUCAUUUUGGUGCUGAAAUUAGUGCACAAAACCAUACUUUUAUACCCUAGGGAUCUUCUGCAUCAUAGCAUUUUGCUAAUAAGCUUCAUUAAUAUCUGGCAAUAUGUCUUUUAUUUAAAUGACUUGAUAACAGUUUCAAAGGCAAGAACACUCUGGAUAGCACUUUAUUUUGUGCUUAUAGUUGGAAUGUGGACAAGAAAUCAGAGUCAACUGCUGAAGCAGUAGCCAAGUUAAAAUGGAUUUAAAUUGAAGGAACAAUAAGUUUAUCAAAGUGCUAUUAUUUUAGAUGCCACCCUCUAGGAAAAGUACAGUGUACAACUGAUUUUAUAGCAUGUGACAUGCUUUGCUUGAGUUCAUCACUCACAUUACUGAUGAUUAGAGGAACAAAAAGGGUUGGAUGAGGAAAUAAAAGAAAAUCCACCUUAGGCUUUCUUGCUUGCUUGCUCUUAGAAAGACCUACUAAUUAGCCUUUCGAUUAACUAAGGUGAAGCCAUUCAAGGCUUUGGUAACAAUGAAGUGAAACAACAUUACUACAUUCACAUCAGCUCAUUUCAACAAAGGUACCUGAUCUUCUCUUUGUUACCACACCAGUCCACUUGCAAUGAGUGUUUUCACACUUUCUGAUUCAAUCUGUCCAAGCUGUGAUUUUUUUCUGCCUGAUUUGAACAAGUGUUAGUUCUCUGAAAGGCCAGGUUAUUUAAGGUAAAGUGUGGUUGGCAAAAGUUGUGCCACAUUAUUUCUGUUACCAGCAAGUAUUGUUUUCUCCUUGAUAUUAUGUUUAUUUGCAAAUAAUCAGAAAUGCAUUGCAAAUUUAAAACAAUAUUUUAUCCUAAAGCUCACAACUCUCUUAGUUUUGAAAUAACUAUAUUACCAAUCUGGAAAGCUUAAAAAUAGAGAAAAAUUCAUGGGCUGAAUGGGACAAAAAGGAAUUGGUUCUUCUCUCAUAUAUACAUUCCAUGGAGAAUGCAAAGUGUGGGCAUUCUGGAGGAUUCCCUAUAACCUGAUUCUCCCUUGCAAAGGAGGUUGGAGUUCAUGGUUACAGUGCUAUUUGGAAAAGGGCCUCAAAUUCUGAGACACUGACCAAUUUCUAAGGACCUUGAGUUACUUUGUAAAGUACCAUAGAACACAGUAACAAUAUUGAUUGAAUAGGUUAAAUUAUGAAGCGACUCACUGCCUUCAACAGAUAUUCAUUUAUCUCUUUAUUUAUUGAGUACCUGGCACAUAUGAACAAGCACCAGGCUACACAUGCCAUUCUAGCCUGAGGAGUCCAACAGACAUGCUCACUGCCCCCAUGGAGCUUUCCAUUCAGCAGCAACAACAGUACAAAGAAUUAUCUUUGCACAGAGGGGGAAGAAAUGACAUUUAGCUGAUGGCUGACUCAGAAAGGUUUCAUUGAAGCAGUAGCAUUGGAAUUGUGUCUUGAAGAAUAGGCUUUUGAAAGACAGAGGUGCAUUCCUGGUGGAGGAAUUAAACAAGACAAGAAAGACUAAAAAGCAUGGAGUACGUUAAGGGGUUAUGAAUAGUGAGAUUUGUCUAUAAUGCAUGACAAUUCAUUGAGUCUCCACUAUAAACAAGGUUCAGUUCUGAGUUCUCAGGAUAAAGCAGUUUUUAAAAAUGGACACUGCACUUUGGAGUCAACAUUCUUAUGGAAACGGGUCAGCAAUAAAAACCAAAUAGGUCUAUAAUAUAAUGGCAGAUGGUAGAAGUGUUAAUCCAUUCCAGCCUCGUUUUUCUCCUUACUACCCUUGGAACUCAUCAAACAUGAUCUUGCCUAAGGGCUUUGCACUUGCCAUUCCUUCUACCUGGAACACAUAUUUUGAAAACAUUCACAAGGCUCACUUCCCUCACUUCCUUAAGAUCUUUGUUCAAAUAUCCCUUACCAGGGAAGCUUUCCUUAUUAAGGAAGCAACCACCACUCUUCCCCAACACAUCCUAUGUCCUUUCCUGGCUUUGAUUUUUUCACCAUAGAAGCUACUGUUAUCUGGCAUGCUACUUAACUUGUUUGCUUACUGUUUCUUUCCCCAAUGGAAAGUAAGCACCAUGAAAGAAAGGGAUUUUUAUCUAUUUUUUUACUGCUAUAUUCUCAGUAUUAGGACAAUACCUCGCACAUUCAAGAAAGACUUAUAUUAUGAAGAAAUAUGAUGAAAAAUAAAGUGGUCAAGAAAAUUAUGUGCUGUUAUUUUAGAGGGAAGCUGGGAAAGGUCUCCGUAAAGAAAGAAUAUUUGAAUAAGAGAGCAGGACGUCCGGCUUCUGACUGGGAACCUUCUUGCCGUCAGCAACCAAAGAGAGAAUUAAAUAUGGGUGAUGUUGAGAAAGGCAAGAAGAUUUUUGUUCAGAAGUGUGCCCAGUGCCACACUGUGGAAAAGGGAGGCAAGCACAAGACUGGGCCAAAUCUCCACGGUCUCUUUGGGAGAAAGACAGGUCAGGCUGCUGGAUUCUCUUACACAGACGCCAAUAAAAACAAAGGCAUCCCCUGGGGAGAGGACACACUGAUGGAGUAUUUGGAGAAUCCCAAGAAGUACAUCCCUGGAACAAAAAUGAUCUUUGCCGGCAUUAUGAAGAAGGGAGAAAGGGCAGACUUGAUAGCUUAUCUCAAAAAAGCCACUAAUGAGUAAUAAUUGGUCACUGCCUUAUUUGUUACAAACCAGAAAUAUCUCGUAACUUUUUUUAUGUGUACCAUAAUUUAAUUGGUCUCAUACACCAGAAUUCAGAUCACGAAAGAGCGACAAGAAUAUUUUUGUUGGAUAGUCCUGAUUUAACUAAGACUGGCUUGUGGUUAAUUUGGUUUUUUGAAUUCUGAUAGUAAUUCCAAUACAGUAAAUGCUAUCACUGUUUCCUCCCUUCUGAAGAUGUGAUUGGAUUAAUUAGUAGUGUUCAACCUUUCACACGGAUGGUAAAUUGCCAUUUCAAAACCUGUUGAAGAUUGGUUUUAUAUUUAGAUUUAUAUAACUGGUUAUGUGAAUAUAUUUAAAUACUAGGGAAAUCGCUUCACUGUCUUGGAACCAAGCAAGACUCACUGGUGUUUUAAUUCGUGUUUAUUAGCCUGUUAAAGGCGAGGGCUGGAGAUAAGGUAGCAAUGUUUACUUUAUAUAUUUUUGGUCUUCGCUAUGCCAAUCCAAUUUCCCUAUGUCUACUAAAAUGCUGCCUUUUAUUUAUUGAAAGGCAUUUUAGUGUGGUUUAUGUGUAAUAUCAAAUAAAGAAUAUUUAACACUUAAAAAAAAA